rnacentral:rRNA from 1 species
AACGAACGCUGGCGGCAUGCCUAACACAUGCCAGUCGAACGAGACCUUCGGGUCUAGUGGCGAACGGGUGCGUAACGCGUGGGAACCUGCCCUUAGGUUCGGCAUAACUCCCCGAAAGGGGUGCUAAUACCGGAUCAUGUCUUCGGACCAAAGAUUUAUCGCCUUUGGAUGGGCCCGCGUUGGAUUAGCUAGUUGGUAGGGUAAAAGCCUACCACGGCGAGGAUCCAUAGCUGGCCUGAGAGGAUGAUCAGCCACACUGGGACUGAGACACGGCCCAGACUCCUGCGGGAAGCAGCAGGGGUGGAUAUUGGACAAUAGGCGAAAGCCUGAUCCAGCAAGGCCGGGUGAGCGAUGUAGGCCUUAGGGUUGUAAAGCUCAAUUACCCGGGAUGAUAAUGACAGUACCGGGAGAAUAAGCUCCGGCUAACUCCGUG